rnacentral:tRNA from 1 species
ACUUUUUUAGUAUAAAUAAUAUAUUUGACUUCCAAUCAAAAGAUCUUAAAUUAAGAAAAAGUA